CAGAACACAGCAGAGCUUACCCUGGAGGGAAAAAACACUUGGAAAUCCCACCAAAAAGAUCAGGACAGAAAAUCAAUUCCCAAGUUCUAUCCUGUAUGGGUUUCUGGCUCACAGCUUUCAAAUCCCUUGGAAUUUCCUGAACAACAGAGCUAUGGGAGCAUCUUUUGUGCUAUUUGGUCUGUCUGCAGUUUCUGAAGAGGCUUUAGAGCCAUGGACGUGAAAUGGUUUAGAUGAUGGGAGCCCAGACCUCAUAAUACCAGACCAGGACAGAUGGCAUCCUCCUGCAUAUCUCCUGCCAUGGACACACCCGGGAUUAUACGCUACUCCCAGGGCUCCAGCUGUGACCCACUUGUCUCUCCCAAAAAAGAAAGCAUAGCUGAACACAAGUGUUUGCGGGCGACAAACCUGCCUCUCUGUAAUUUAUUGGGGUGUGAGUCACUGAGGCCUUUACAAACUCCAGGACUUUAACUCUUCUGACGGACAACUUGUUUACAGCGACCCUCCCA